rnacentral:rRNA from 2 species
AAUCCAUAGGUUAAUGAGGCGAACCGGGGGAACUGAAACAUCUAAGUACCCCGAGGAAAAGAAAUCAACCGAGAUUCCCCCAGUAGCGGCGAGCGAACGGGGAGGAGCCCAGAGCCUGAAUCAGCAUGUGUGUUAGUGGAAGCGUCUGGAAAGGCGCGCGAUACAGGGUGACAGCCCCGUACACAAAAGCGCAUGUGCUGUGAGCUCGAUGAGUAGGGCGGGACACGUGGUAUCCUGUCUGAAUAUGGGGGGACCAUCCUCCAAGGCUAAAUACUCCUGACUGACCGAUAGUGAACCAGUACCGUGAGGGAAAGGCGAAAAGAACCCCGGCGAGGGGAGUGAAAAAGAACCUGAAACCGUGUACGUACAAGCAGUGGGAGCACAGGUUUACCUGUGUGACUGCGUACCUUUUGUAUAAUGGGUCAGCGACUUAUAUUCUGUAGCAAGGUUAACCGAAUAGGGGAGCCGGAGGGAAACCGAGUCUUAAUUGGGCGUUAAGUUGCAGGGUAUAGACCCGAAACCCGGUGAUCUAGCCAUGGGCAGGUUGAAGGUUGGGUAACACUAACUGGAGGACCGAACCGACUAAUGUUGAAAAAUUAGCGGAUGACCUGUGGCUGGGGGUGAAAGGCCAAUCAAACCGGGAGAUAGCUGGUUCUCCCCGAAAGCUAUUUAGGUAGCGCCUCGUGAAUUCAUCUCCGGGGGUAGAGCACUGUUUCGGCUAGGGGGCCAUCCCGGCUUACCAACCCGAUGCAAACUGCGAAUACCGGAGAAUGUUAUCACGGGAGACACACGGCGGGUGCUAACGUCCGUCGUGAAGAGGGAAACAACCCAGACCGCCAGCUAAGGUCCCAAAGUCAUGGUUAAGUGGGAAACGAUGUGGGAAGGCCCAGACAGCCAGGAUGUUGGCUUAGAAGCAGCCAUCAUUUAAAGAAAGCGUAAUAGCUCACUGGUCGAGUCGGCCUGCGCGGAAGAUGUAACGGGGCUAAACCAUGCACCGAAGCUGCGGCAGCGAACGUAUCACUUAAAGCGAUUC